rnacentral:rRNA from 1 species
UACGGAAGGCAGCAGUGGGGAAUAUUGCACAAUGGGCGCAAGCCUGAUGCAGCCAUGCCGCGUGUAUGAAAAAGGCCUUCGGGUUGUAAAGUACUUUCAGUCGUGAGGAAGGUGUUAAGGUUAAUAACCUUAGCAAUUGACGUUAGCGACAGAAGAAGCACCGGCUAACUCCGUGCCAGCAGCCGCGGUAAUACGGAGGGUGCGAGCGUUAAUCGGAAUUACUGGGCGUAAAGGGCACGCAGGCGGUUAAUUAAGUUGGAUGUGAAAUCCCCGGGCUUAACCUGGGAAUGGCAUUCAAGACUGGUUAGCUAGAGUCUUGUAGAGGGGGUAGAAUUCCAUGUGUAGCGGUGAAAUGCGUAGAGAUGUGGAGGAAUACCGGUGGCGAAGGCGGCCCCUGGGACAAAGACUGACGCUCAUGUGCGAAAGCGUGGGGAGCAAAACAGGGAUUAGGAAU